GGUCAAUGGCCCAACGGCUGAACCAGCAACUUGGGGGAAUGGAUACCGACUCUGUUGGAUAAAGUUCUAGAUAGAAGAAUGAUAAUGACAAUUUUCUAUCUAUAUGUCUUGACCAAAUCUUGUGCCAGCAGUCGCGGUAAUACAAGGGAGACUAGUGUUAUUCAUCUUUAUUAGGUUUAAAGGGUACCUAGACGGUAAAUAAAGCCCCCUAAGGGUACGUAUUUACUAGAGUUUUAUGUGAGAGGAAUAUUUAGUACUAAAGGUGUAGAGAUAAAAUUCUUUGAUACUUUUAAGACGGGUAACGGCGAAGGCAAGCCUCUAUGUAAAAACUGACGUUGAGGGACGAAGGCUUGGGUAGCGAAUAGGAUUAGAUACCCUAGUAGUCCAAGCAGAAAAUUAUGAAUGUCAUAGAUUAGAUUGUGUUUUAAUAUUUGGUCUAUAAAUGAAAGUGUAAGCAUUCCACCUCAAGAGUAAUGUGGCAACACAGGAACUGAAAUCAUUAGACCGUUUCUGAAACCAGUAGUGAAGUAUGUUAUUUAAUUCGAUGAUCCUCGAAAAACCUUACCACUUUUUGAAUGUUAAUUUAAAAAUUAACACAUGCGUUGCAUGGUUGUCUUCAGUAAAUAUCGUGAGAAUUGGUUAGAUCCAAAAAAUUAUCGUAAACCCUUGCUUUUUAUUUAUUUGAAUAAUGCAGUUAACCACUAUAUUGGAUAUUAUAAC
rnacentral:rRNA from 1 species